AUGGGGGCAACCCUGAUCCAGCCAUUCCGCGUGAGUGAAGAAGGCCUUCGGGUUGUAAAGCUCUUUCGGCAGGAACGAAACGGUGUGGGCCCAUACCCCAUAUCAAUGACGGUACCUGAAGAAGAAGCACCGGCUAACUACGUGCCAGCAGCCGCGGUAAUACGUAGGGUGCGAGCGUUAAUCGGAAUUACUGGGCGUAAAGCGUGCGCAGGCGGUUCUAUAAGACAGAUGUGAAAUCCCCGGGCUUAACCUGGGAACUGCGUUUGUGACUGUAGGACUCGAGUGUGGCAGAGGGGGGUGGAAUUCCACGUGUAGCAGUGAAAUGCGUAGAGAUGUGGAGGAACACCGAUGGCGAAGGCAGCCCCCUGGGUCAACACUGACGCUCAUGCACGAAAGCGUGGGGAGCAAACAGGAUUAGAUACCCUGGUAGUCCACGCCCUAAACGAUGCCAACUAGGUGUUGGGGAAGGAGACUUUCUUAGUACCGUAGCUAACGCGUGAAGUUGGCCAGCCUUGGGGAGUACGGUCGCAAGAUUAACUCUUAACGGACUUCGACGGGGACCCGCACAUACGCGGUGGAUGAUGUGGAUUGAUUCGAUGCAACGCGAAACACAUUACCUACCCUUGACAUGCCGCGUAUCCUGCAGAGAUGUGGGAGUGCUUGAAAGAGAGCGCGGACACAGGUGCUGCAUGGCUGUCUGUCAGCUCGUGUCGUGAGAUGUUGGGUUAAGUCCCGCAACGAGCGCAACCCUUGCCACUAGUUGCCAUCAUUGAGUUGGGCACUCUAGUGGGACUGCCGGUGACAAACCGGAGGAAGGUGGGGAUGACGUCAAGUCCUCAUGGCCCUUAUGGGUAGGGCUUCACACGUCAUACAAUGGUCGGUACAAAGGGUUGCCAAGCCGCGAGGUGGAGCCAAUCCCAGAAAGCCGAUCGUAGUCCGGAUCGUAGUCUGCAACUCGACUGCGUGAAGUCGGAAUCGCUAGUAAUCGUGGAUCAGCAUGCCACGGUGAAUACGUUCCCGGGUCUUGUACACACCGCCCGUCACACCAUGGGAGUGGGUUUCACCAGAAGUAGGUAGCUUAACCGCGAGGGGGGCGCUUACCACGGUGG
rnacentral:rRNA from 1 species